rnacentral:lncRNA from 1 species
CAGGGACCCAGGAGGCCUCACCCUUGGACCCCUCCUCCAUCAGACACAGGCGUCUAGGCUUCCAGUUGACAGUCAGAAUCCCAAGCAUCUUCUCCCUCCUCUUAAACCUGCAAUGAACACACACACAAUGGAAUUUCUACUUUUUUAUUCACUCCUCCAAAAAGCACCACAGGUCAACCCACCCUUGAGUCUCCAGGCUUCAUGGUUCCUCAUCUCAAUGGACACAAGUCUAUCAUAGUCCAGACAAGUAGGAAAUUCAUCUAAGUUGAUGAGGCUCUGUUCCUCCUCUGCUUCUGGCGAUGGCAACACCAAGAUUCAUCAUAGGUUUUCUAGAAUUUCUGCCCUCAAGGACCUGCCAGCCUGCAGGUGCCAUGUAGACUCACCCCAAAGGCUGCCAGUUGUCGCUCCACAAGUGAGUCUUCAGUCUUUUCUGUUUGGAUGUGCCCAGAGACCGACGCCUCGCUGGCAGCUUCCACAGAGACCGAUGCCUCGCUGGCAGCUUCCCGCUUCCAGAGCCUAAAUUUCAAUCCCUUUAAAAGUCAUGACUUAAAAGGCAACCACUCCCAAAAGACAGUCGUUGACCCCCAA